rnacentral:rRNA from 1 species
ACGGGUGAGUAAUGCCUAGGAAUCUGCCUGGUAGUGGGGGACAACGUCUCGAAAGGGACGCUAAUACCGCAUACGUCCUACGGGAGAAAGCAGGGGACCUUCGGGCCUUGCGCUAUCAGAUGAGCCUAGGUCGGAUUAGCUAGUUGGUGAGGUAAUGGCUCACCAAGGCGACGAUCCGUAACUGGUCUGAGAGGAUGAUCAGUCACACUGGAACUGAGACACGGUCCAGACUCCUACGGGAGGCAGCAGUGGGGAAUAUUGGACAAUGGGCGAAAGCCUGAUCCAGCCAUGCCGCGUGUGUGAAGAAGGUCUUCGGAUUGUAAAGCACUUUAAGUUGGGAGGAAGGGCAUUAACCUAAUACGUUAGUGUUUUGACGUUACCGACAGAAUAAGCACCGGCUAACUCUGUGCCAGCAGCCGCGGUAAUACAGAGGGUGCAAGCGUUAAUCGGAAUUACUGGGCGUAAAGCGCGCGUAGGUGGUUUGUUAAGUUGGAUGUGAAAGCCCCGGGCUCAACCUGGGAACUGCAUUCAAAACUGACAAGCUAGAGUAUGGUAGAGGGUGGUGGAAUUUCCUGUGUAGCGGUGA